rnacentral:lncRNA from 7 species
ACAACAGGGAAAAUCUAGGGGAACAGUGUGCUGUGAAACCAGUGCCCUUGUCAUGCUGGACCUUCCUGCAUUCCUUCAUGCUGUGCUGCCCCACACCAGCCCAGCAGAGCUUGCCAAAACAAAGGCUGAAGUUCGAGCAGAAGAUUCAAGACAGAAGGACCAGAUUCAUCCUCCAGUUUCGUAGUGCCUACAGUUUCAGGCCAGAAGGGACCAUCCCGCACCCUCCAGUCUGCCGUCUUACAUAGCUCCCAGAGCCACCCUAAUGGAAGAAAAAAAGAGUAAUGGAGGUAAUUGGGAACAUCCUGAAUAACCUAAUUCCAGUGUCCCUACGGCAUGACUAGACACCUAAAGGAUGUCUCCAGGACAAUGUCAGCCAGCAUGGAGGGCUGCUGCAAGGGGAGCAGAGUGAGCUCUCUCUUUUUAAAAGCUUUGUGGCACUUCC